rnacentral:lncRNA from 1 species
CUUAUUUAACAGAUUGGUAAUUUAAUUAUCUAGUUAAAAAAAAAAAAAAAAAAAGAGAUAAUUUAUGGACUAGUGCCGCUUUCGAAAUGUUGUAAUAUUUACUGUAUGGGUACUAACGUUGCAGGAGUUAUCAACUAACAGACGAACUGUUGUUCGAACGAUCAGAUCUAGAAAAAUGAUCAUUAGAGAAGGAUAAACAUCUACUUUGGAUAUCAUAAGCUACUAAAAAGUAGAUUUACAUAAUUAUUUCCAGUCGAUUAAUUCAGAAUCCGGAUGUAUAAAUGAACCAAUAAGGUUGCAGGUUAGAUAACGAUCAGUGGGGGGGGUUUAAAUUUUGAAUGGCAUUGAAUUUAGCUAGCCUCUUCUCUUUUUUUUCCCUUCUCCUUCUAUUCUUUUAUAAAAUUUAUCUUAUAAUAGAUUGUCGCCAACAGCUGCAAAAUUUAGGAUGGUCUUGUUUUAUGCCGUACAUUACGUCAUGGAAAGAGAAUAGCGUGUGCAACGGACAGUAUUUUUUCCAUCCACAAUGUCAAUCUGCUGACACAGCAUCAUUCGAAUGAUAUAUAAGCUCGACUUACAGGAAAGAAUAAAAACUUCCAUUCUACUUCUUCCUAGACACAUUUACUGCCGUCGUUUAGCUAGGUUCAUUGGCGGUAGAUGGCGCCACGCGACGUGAUGAGUAAAUUGCUUUUUUGGCCAUUUAUUUAUAAAUUUGGCAAGGGGCACGGUGGCCAACGGGUUCGUAAACCUCUCUCGAGUCUGGAGCGAAAGUUUCGCGCUAAUUCGACGUUUAAUUUAAGAUUUCUGAAAACUGAAGUGCCGUACGAGUGAUUGCAACGGCGGCGAAAUUGCGUAAUUUUUUUUAUAUAUUUGUGUCUUUUGCGUAUCUAAAACGCCCGUUGACAUAAAUUAAUCGAAGGUUUAACACUUUCAAUGUCGAGUAAACAGGCUGUUGCAGCGUUAUCACUCGCUUAUGCUGCACGUCGCCAGAAUUCUUCAUUGUGCAAAGUUAAGGAGAGGCCUCGUUACACCCUAUCCUGCGAGGUCUUUUGAGAUAUUUUUUUAUUGCUUUUUUUGUAGGGAAAAAAUGCAUUUUGAACUGGGUAAAUGCGCUAGUUUCUUCUCACUGAGCGGCACGUUUAAUCUAGCAAAAAAAAAAAAAAAAUAACAAUAAAAAUGCA